UUGGAGCCCUCCUGUGCUCCCUGCUGAUUUUAUGAUGCUGUGAUGGAGGCAGGUGCAGCCAUUCACCCAAGAGAAAGUGCACAGACAGAGAUUCGUGCUGGAGCUAAUGGGCAAUUAGAGAGCUGCUGGAGUAAUUAAACAGCUGCUGGAAGCUCUUCCAAGGGACAGCUUGUGGUGCUACAGCGUGGGAAGAACUCUCAGGAAGAGCCUGGCCUUCAGCAACAGCAGCUUAAUUUCCUUUUCUUCUGCAUUUUAAUGAUGAUGUUGGCUACUUUUGCUGGUCAGCUGGAUAUGAUUAAGUAACUGAGCUCAGCAGGUGCUUCCUGAGAAGGCAAAGAUCUGGGAGGUCACACAACUUUUCAGAGCUGCAGUGGAGGACAAGGUCCUGUUAUGAUUGAUGGUGCUGAAAUGGAAAUGUUUCAUCUCUACAGUGUGCAGAGAAGGAACUGCAGUCCCAGAAAUCCCCUGUUCCCAGUGCUGCCUUGUUUGGGAGCUGUGAGCAGUGAUGAAAUUCUGUGCUCCCAUCCCUCUGCUCCCAACCUGAACUUGUGGUGCACUGCUUCUGGGGUGAGGGAGAAAUGCUGCUUUGGAAGAGGGAAGGAGGAUGAAAACCAUGGAAUGGAGAUUGCACCAGGAAAAUCCACAAAUGCCAGAAGGAGACAGAGGAGUCCUGCAACU